UACGGGGGAGCAAGCGUUGUUCGGAUUUACUGGGCGUAAAGGGCGCGUAGGCGGCCACCGCAAGUCGACUGUGAAAUCUCCGGGCUUAACCCGGAAAGGUCAGCCGAUACUGCGGGGCUAGAGUGCAGAAGGGGCAACUGGAAUUCUCGGUGUAGCGGUGAAAUGCGUAGAUAUCGAGAGGAACACCGGUGGCGAAAGCGGCGUACUGGGGCUUAACUGACGCUGAGGCACGAAAGCCAGGGGAGCGAACGGG
rnacentral:rRNA from 1 species